rnacentral:rRNA from 1 species
CCUACGGGAGGCAGCAGUAGGGAAUAUUGCGCAAUGGGGGGAACCCUGAAGCAGCAACGCCGCGUGGAGGAUGAAGGUUUUCGGAUUGUAAACUCCUGUUGUUAGAGAAGAUAAUGACGGUAUCUAACGAAUAAGCACCGGCUAACUCCGUGCCAGCAGCCGCGGGAAUACGGAGGGUGCAAGCGUUACUCGGAAUCACUGGGCGUAAAGAGCGCGUAGGCGGGUUAGCAAGUCAGAUGGGAAAUCCUGUGGCUUAACCAUAGAACUGCAUGU